rnacentral:rRNA from 1 species
CCUACGGGUGGCGGCAGUGAGGAAUAGUGGUCAAUGGACGCAAGUCUGAACCAGCCAAGCAGCGUGAAGGAAGACGGCCCUAUGAGGUGUAAACUGCUUUUGUACGAGGGUAAACGCCGAUACGUGUACCCGUCUGCAAGUACCGUACGAAUAAGGAUCGGCUAACUCCGUGCCAGCAGCCGCGGUAAUACGGAGGAUCCAAGCGUUAUCCGGAUUUAUUGGGUUUAAAGGGUGCGUAGGAGGUCGGGUAAGUUAGAGGUGAAAUCCCGAGGCUCAACUGCGGAAUUGACUUUGAUACUGUUCGGCUAGAGGGUGGUAGCGGUAGGCGGAAUGUGUGGUGUAGCGGUGAAAUGCUUAGAGAUCCUGCAGAACACCGAUUGCGAAGGCAGCUUAC